UUGCUGCCACCACGAGGAGGGAGGAGUUCGGUGUGGGCUGGUUCUCGAAGGUCCCCACCCUCGGAACUAUCUUCCAGAGUCCCGGAGCUGUGCGGGCCCCGGAUCCUCUGGCUAACCUUCCGGAUGACCAACAGGACAGGCUGGUGAGAGUCUCUAGUUGAGCUAGGCCGGCCGGUCGGUCGUCUGUUUGUGUCUCUGCCAUCCAUCACUUGUUCUGCAAAUCCAUCCUGAUGACAGAAGUGACUGUCUUGGAUUACUUCUGAAGAAGGUCAGCCCUAGGUUGAGCCAUCUGAGCUGUUUCUGCCGUCCAGGGAUGCCGUGGAACUGUCACCGGCACCAGUCUCUCAUCCUCCUUAGCUUGUACUCAAAUGCCAGUCUUUGGCACUUCCACGUGGUCUUGUGAGUGGCUGAGGUCAGCUCUUAGGACCAGAGGAAGCCUCAGGCUGAGAAGUGAGAACUGAGCAUCUGAAAUGGGCAUGGGCCCAUGGACUCUGGGACUGUCUGCCAAGACUUGAGAUCGGCUAAUGUGUGCGGGGAAUGUGUGGGGAAGCCUCAACAGCCUGCCUGAGGCCAUCAUCGAACCACCCCAUAACCUUACCUUCCAGGCAGCUGCAGAAUCCUUGUCAUUGUAGUGUUUGAGACAGCCACGUGUUCUUUGGGGACGUUCAUAAUGAAGUCUGUUUGAGGCUCUACAACUCCAUGUAUGUGCGCAGAAGCCCCCAGGGCGAUGGGGAAGGACAGGCCAGAACAGUGAGUGAUGUCAUGAUUUAAUCUGGUACCUGUCAGGGAAUGUACAGAGCCAAACCUGAGACAAAGCCUGACCUCUGACCAUGGAGCUGACCUUCAGGCAUUGGGUCCCACCAGAGAAGGGUCUUUCUUAUGCUAUACAUUCCUGCAGGAAACAGCCAGAGCAGAUGGCAGGCCUGGCCGAGGGAGGCAGGCAGGGUUUAUAGAGAGCAAUACAGUCUGAUGGUGUCCAAGCUGUUUCCCUCCCAGCCUGAGCAGAGGAAUCCUGUCCAGAUGGAGCCGCCAGGGCUGCAGCUGCUGGAGAUCUGGGCAGAGUGUGCCUGGCCUACUGCUUGCUCCCCAGUCUUGGAUCUUCCCGAGUGACCCCCAGCGGGAUGUACAGCACCCUCCAUUUCCCAAAGCGAUGCCUUGUUUGAAGAAGAAGGGCAGAAGCCGAGCAAAUAUUUGUGCCUCCAGGCCUCACUUGGCACUCACCGCAUUGGAGUUUUCUGCUGGGACUGACAGCAAGUCUUUGCAGGCAGAUUCUGCUCUGCAUGGCCUGGGAGAGAUGCCAGACCCUGGCUGGGGUCUGUCCUGCCCAUUUAUGUGCUGCUGCGAUGGCCCCUCUCUCCACCUCCCUCACUGCACUCCUUCAUCUUUGUUCAGAGCAUGCUUCUUCAAAGAAUGGUCCAUGCCCCAGCCUGCAGCCCUCUGUGAUGUAGCUGCCACCCCAUCCUCCCGCAUUGUCCCCUUACAGACCUCGGAUGCCAUCCUCCCUCCCUUCACGCCAUGGUCUUUUCUGCUUGUAGCCAAAUUCUUUCCUUUCUGCCUUCUCCUGCUGCUUUUUCCGCCUCUCAGAUGGCCUCUUCCAUCUCCUCCCGAAUGUCUCUUCAGUCUUAACCCUCACCCUCCAGACCCCGGGGCCAUUCGUCAAGGCCGAGCCGAGGAAAAGACAAAAACACAGACAUCUGGAUACCGCACUCCGUGACUCUUGGAACUACAGGAAGACAAGGUGGGCAUCGUGCAGGGAGAGGAGUCGGGGCAACAGAACUCAUCUCAGACUAGGGGUCUGGUAUGGGCUCAACAGCUCUGCCCCAUGGGCUAAUGGGAAGAGUCCAGGAUAUUCAGGUUGCAAGAGCCAGAGAUAUGGCUCAGUGCCAG